rnacentral:tRNA from 1 species
AAAGGGAGACCUAAUUCAGGUAGGAGACGAAAAAAAGUAGUCGCUACCAAGAAUCAAUCCCAAAAGGUCGGAGCGAGGCGAAAUUGGCUUUCAAACUAGGUUCUGGGUUCACACAAGACCUGAAUCAGGAACAAGGGCUAUUAGCUCAGGUGGUUAGAGCGCACCCCUGAUAAGGGUGAGGUCCCUGGUUCGAGUCCAGGAUGGCCCACCUGCACAGGUGGCAAAAACAAAGAAAAAAAGCGUGGAAUCAGCACCUGAUCUUACUUGUACAGUAAGAGAGAAUGCUGGCUCUGAGUACAGAGUCCAGAGGAACCUUGAAAACUGCAUAGAGCUAGGUGAAAAAGCCAAAAAAGAAGACCGCAAG